AUUGAACGCUGGCGGAAUGCUUUACACAUGCAAGUCGAACGGUAGAGGGGGCAACCCCUUGAGAGUGGCGAACGGGUGAGUAAUAUAUCGGAACGUGCCCAGUCGUGGGGAUAACGUAGCGAAAGUUACGCUAAUACCGCAUACGAUCUAUGGAUGAAAGCGGGGGAUCGCAAGACCUCGCGCGAUUGGAGCGGCCGAUAUCAGAUUAGGUAGUUGGUGAGGUAAAGGCUCACCAAGCCGACGAUCUGUAGCUGGUCUGAGAGGACGACCAGCCACACUGGGACUGAGACACGGCCCAGACUCCUACGGGAGGCAGCAGUGGGGAAUUUUGGACAAUGGGCGCAAGGCCUGAUCCAGCAAUGCCGCGUGCAGGAUGAAGGCCU
rnacentral:rRNA from 1 species